CUUUUAAUGUGAUAUAUAAAGACAAGUAGUCAAUUGAGUUAUCAAAGGGGAAAACACGACUCAUCAAUACAAUCAAGAGACAUUAAUAAUGAUUUUAAGUUAAACAAGAGUUUCUUGCCAACCUAUAAGUGCUAAAAACAAUAAGUGAUCAAACAAUGUUCUACUUGUUACAUGCAAAGUAAAACAAAUAUGGGUGCAGUUCUCAAGUUUGUUUAUGUUAUGAUCCUAUUUGUUUUCCUACUUCUUGGUGUAACUGAUAGCAAACAUCAUGGAUGUAUUGUUGACAAUGAUUGUCAAAAAUGUGUACGACCUUAUUAUCGGAGGUGCAAAUCGAAUGAAUGUUCAUGUCAUUAAAAUACACCUCUUUUACAAGAUAUGAAGAACAAAAAUGCCACUGCAGAAUAAAUUAUAGUGAGUUGAAAUCAAUAAAGAUAAUAUGAUUAUACGAAGUUAUAAAUAAAUAGACAAUAUAAUUAUGUAAAAUAAUCAUAUAUUUAUUCUAGUUUUACAUUUAACAGGCUCAUUUAAAAAAAGUAUUUAACAUUAUAGAUAAUAUGUGUGAUAUAAAGUGAACAAAAAUAUCAUUAUAUAUUAAGGUUACUAUGCUUAUAGUUAUAAUCUUCCAAAAUA